AGUCGCGGUGCCAGAGUGGUUAAUGGGUUAGACUUGAAUUCCCAUAUUCAGUCAUCUAAUGGCUUCGGCCUCGCAAGUUCGAAUCUUGUCCGCGACG